rnacentral:rRNA from 1 species
AGCGAACGCUGGCGGCAGGCUUAACACAUGCAAGUCGAACGGGCACUUCGGUGCUAGUGGCAGACGGGUGAGUAACGCGUGGGAACGUGCCUUUCGGUUCGGAAUAAUCCAGGGAAACUUGGACUAAUACCGGAUACGCCCCUCGGGGGAAAGAUUUAUCGCCGAAAGAUCGGCCCGCGUCUGAUUAGCUAGUUGGUGAGGUAAAGGCUCACCAAGGCGACGAUCAGUAGCUGGUCUGAGAGGAUGAUCAGCCACAUUGGGACUGAGACACGGCCCAGACUCCUACGGGAGGCAGCAGUGGGGAAUAUUGGACAAUGGGCGCAAGCCUGAUCCAGCCAUGCCGCGUGAGUGAUGAAGGCCUUAGGGUUGUAAAGCUCUUUCACCGGAGAAGAUAAUGACGGUAUCCGGAGAAGAAGCCCCGGCUAACUUCGUGCCAGCAGCCGCCGCGG